UACAGGGGGGUGCAAACGUUGCUCGGAAUUAUUGGGCGUAAAGCGCGCGUAGGCGGCCGCUUAAGUCGGAUGUGAAAGCCCCUGGCUCAACUGGGGAAGUGCACCCGAAACUGAGUGGCUUGAGUACUAAAGAGGGUCGCGGAAUUCCCGGUGUAGAGGUGAAAUUCGUAGAUAUCGGGAGGAACACCGGUGGCGAAGGCGAGUCUCUGGACAUUUCCUGACGCUGAGGCACGAAAGCCAGGGGAGCAAACGGG
rnacentral:rRNA from 1 species